CUGAGAUGACAUCACAAGGAGACUCUUGGUUUAAGCUCCAAUUUAAGCAAAUUAUCCUCAAAUCUAAACAGCAACUCUGACAAACUUGAGAGAUUCUUCUACUGAAACUCAAACCAUCUGUUCUCCUUAACAAGGAUAUGUUCAAGAAUCACGGCAGCAUGAAGGGACUGAGGAACAAAGACCAGAGAGGGGAGAAAGAAAACCUUAUGCAAUAAAAGUUGAACUGGUUCCUGUACCGCCAGAAGCAGAGAACCUGACGAAACCUAAGUCAAAGAAGAAAAUAAAGAGAAGUGCCUCAGGGUCCUCAGCAAGCUCUGAAGAUUCUGUGUCAAACUAUACUAGAAGGAAAACAAAGGUCUCUAUACAUUUUGGAACUUUAAAAUUAAAGCCAGUUGUCAGCAUCUCAGAACUGACAUAGAAAAGGGAGGAGAAGCCUGAACUUUUGCCUGCUAAAUCCCUUUGAAGAUUCGGUCUCCUCGGAGAUGGGGAGGGGGGAGACAUUCCUGUGAUCUGACGAAGAAAGGAAUCAGGAAAGUGACUUGGAAGAUAGCCAAUGAGAAGCAGAGAAUUGGGGAGAAAAGAGAGAAAAUUUCCUUAAAGAUCGGCAGUUUGGAAGUUCAUUUAUUUUGAGAUAGCAUCGAAACCUGACAGACGGUCAGUACUCACAACUUUCCAAGCCAAACUGGCAAACCUCCAGCCCUCCAGCUCCCUGCCAGAUGUUUGGACGGAGUGGCGCAAAGAUUCCGAAGCCAUGGCAGAAAGCCAACUCUCUACUGAAAGCUUACUUCAAGUGGCUGUGAACCAGCCCCCCCUCCCUACUCCAGCCAGCUUGGAUGCAACGGGGCCACCCCCUCCCCCAGCAAAGCUGCAACCCCCACUUCCUCCACCACUGCCACAGAAUUACCAAGGUCAGACUAUCGUGCUCCAGCCCAAGAGAAGAAAAAAUGAUGAACCUUGGUGGACUUUGCCAAAAUCUGCAGAAGCUGAGUUCCCCUUUCCAGACGCUAAAGGCCUCACUGGGAGAGUGAAGGGAGAGGGGUCGGAUGUCAGCGUCUCAGAACUGACAUAGAAAAGGGAGGAGAAGCCUGAACUUUUGCCUGCUAAAUCCCUUUGAAGAUUCAGUCUCCUCGGAGAUGGGGAGGGGGGAGACAUUCCUGUGACCUGACGAAGAAAGGAAUCAGGAAAGUGACUUGGAAGAUAGCCAAUGAGAAGCAGAGAAUUGGGGAUCAGAAAGGGAGGGAUUGGGGGGCAAAGGUCAGUACUGACCACGAUGAGUCUGGAUCAGGUUGCUGUGCUCAAAUAAAGAGAAAAUUUCCUUAAA